ACUCCUACGGGAGGCAGCAGUAGGGAAUCUUCCACAAUGGACGAAAGUCUGAUGGAGCAACGCCGCGUGAGUGAAGAAGGUUUUCGGAUCGUAAAACUCUGUUGUAAGGGAAGAACACGUACGAGAGUAACUGCUCGUACCUUGACGGUACCUUAUUAGAAAGCCACGGCUAACUACGUGCCAGCAGCCGCGGUAAUACGUAGGUGGCAAGCGUUGUCCGGAAUUAUUGGGCGUAAAGCGCGCGCAGGCGGUCCUUUAAGUCUGAUGUGAAAGCCCACGGCUCAACCGUGGAGGGUCAUUGGAAACUGGGGGACUUGAGUACAGAAGAGGAAAGCGGAAUUCCAAGUGUAGCGGUGAAAUGCGUAGAGAUUUGGAGGAACACCAGUGGCGAAGGCGGCUUUCUGGUCUGUAACUGACGCUGAGGCGCGAAAGCGUGGGGAGCAAACAGGAUUAGAUACCCUGGUAGUCCACGCCGUAAAACGAUGAGUGCUAAGUGUUAGGGGGUUUCCGCCCCUUAGUGCUGCAGCUAACGCAUUAAGCACUCCGCCUGGGGAGUACGACCGCAAGGUUGAAACUCAAAGGAAUUGACGGGGGCCCGCACAAGCGGUGGAGCAUGUGGUUUAAUUUGAAGCAACGCGAAGAACCUUACCAGGUCUUGACAUCCAACUGACCGGCUUAGAGAUAAGUUUUUCCCUUCGGGGACAGUGGUGACAGGUGGUGCAUGGUUGUCGUCAGCUCGUGUCGUGAGAUGUUGGGUUAAGUCCCGCAACGAGCGCAACCCUUGAUCUUAGUUGCCAGCAUUUAGUUGGGCACUCUAAGGUGACUGCCGGUGAUAAACCGGAGGAAGGUGGGGAUGACGUCAAAUCAUCAUGCCCCUUAUGACCUGGGCUACACACGUGCUACAAUGGACGAUACAAAGGGCUGCAAACCCGCGAGGGGGAGCCAAUCCCAGAAAAUCGUUCUCAGUUCGGAUUGUAGGCUGCAACUCGCCUACAUGAAGCCGAAAUCGCUA
rnacentral:rRNA from 1 species